rnacentral:miRNA from 1 species
ACAAAAUUCCUAUAGGAAUUUUUCCUAUACGAAUUCCUAUAGGAAUUCUUAUAGGAAUUCCUGUAGAAAAAAUUCCUAUAGGAAUUUUU